GACGAACGCUGGCGGCAUGCCUUACACAUGCAAGUCGAACGGUAACAGGUCUUCGGAUGCUGACGAGUGGCGAACGGGUGAGUAAUACAUCGGAACGUGCCCGAUCGUGGGGGAUAACGGAGCGAAAGCUUUGCUAAUACCGCAUACGAUCUACGGAUGAAAGCAGGGGACCGCAAGGCCUUGCGCGAACGGAGCGGCCGAUGGCAGAUUAGGUAGUUGGUGGGAUAAAAGCUUACCAAGCCGACGAUCUGUAGCUGGUCUGAGAGGACGACCAGCCACACUGGGACUGGGACACGGCCCAGACUCCUACGGGAGGCAGCAGUGGGGAAUUUUGGACAAUGGGCGCAAGCCUGAUCCAGCAAUGCCGCGUGCAGGAUGAAGGCCUUCGGGUUGUAAACUGCUUUUGUACGGAACGAAAAGGCUCUGGUUAAUACCUGGGGCUCAUGACGGUACCGUAAGAAUAAGCACCGGCUAACUACGUGCCAGCAGCCGCCGUAAGAC
rnacentral:rRNA from 1 species